rnacentral:rRNA from 1 species
GACGAACGCUGGCGGCGCGCUUAACACAUGCAAGUGGUGCGACGAACCAGGCUUCGGCCUGGGGCGAAGCCGCGAACGGGUGAGUAACACGUGGGCAAUCUGCCCCUUUGAUCGGGACAACCCGGGGAAACCCGGGCUAAUACCGAAUGAGGUGGCGACUCAUGAGAGUCGUCACGAAAGGAAGCUUCGGCCUCCGCGGAGGGAUGAGCCCGCGGCCCAUUAGCUUGUUGGUGGGGUAAUGGCCUACCAAGGCAACGAUGGGUAGCUGGUCGGGGUGGACGAUCAGCCACACUGGGACUGAGACACGGCCCAGACUCCUACGGGAGGCUGCAGUGGGGAAUCUUGCGCAAUGAGCGACAGCUGGACGCAGCAACGCCGCGUGAGGGAAGAAGGCUUUCGGGUCGUAAACCUCUUUCAGUUAGGACGAAGCUUUAUUGGUUAAUAACCAAUUGGAGUGACGGUACUUUCAGAAGAAGCCCCGGCUAACUACGUGCCAGCCGCCGCCGUAA